CAGAUCUCUUUAUGUUCUCUGACUGCUGAUUUCCAGGUGAAAUCCCAAUUGUUUCUUUGAACUCAAGGACUGUAUCUGUGGAGAGAUCAGUGAAAUGGGAGAUCAUACAAGAAUGCAUGAAGGAGACCCUCCAAUACAUAUCCCAACUGAUCAGCCAGCAACGGCAAGUUAAAUUCUCAAUCAAAGGGAUUGGAAUUCUGUGCAUCCAAAAUGAGAAAGUGAAUAUGACCUUUUCCAAAGACUUCCUGCUAACCAUGGAAAGAAAUUGGAACCCAGGCAACACUCUUUUGAAUGACUCUGAGACACAAGCCUCAGUCUUUUCACACAGACGCGAAUCAACAAUUCUAAGAGGAACAAUUUUUAGACAAACCACUGUUCCUGCCUAUGUGGGCAGGCCUCUGAAGUUUCCAAGAAUUAAGCAUGAGGAAACCACUAACAGUCAUGGAACAUAUCAAAGAAGAGACUGAAAUAACCAACGAUGAAAAACAUCAAACUCAAACAGACACAAGCUGUAACAUCCUUCUGGACAAAGUGUGACUUCUAAGAAGGCAGUCUGGCAAGGCUAGCAAGCACUUCCAGGUGGCAAAACAGGAGCAGGCCAAACUCCGUCAUCUUUUUUCUGUAAA